AGACAGUAGGUUUAGACUGUUGGGUUAGACAGAGAAAAGGGAUCCAGGAGACUCAAUCACCUGACUGAAUUAUCCACUAUUGAAUCAGGUAUAAAACAGCACAUCAAUUAGGGGUCCAAUAUGUGAAGCAGGCACAGAUUCUCAGGGGAUAAACAGAUUGCCCCAGACCAGGCCUGACACCAUAGGACAGGCAGAGAACUUGUGUUCUCUUUUCAUGUCUGGACAAACAAAAGACUUAGCUCAUCUAAUUUUAAAACUAACAAUGGGGAUCUUCAACAUUUACUUCACAAAUACAGCAAAUUGGAAGUGCAUUGGUCUGGAGGCCUAAUUUUAAUUCUGUUUCUGACACUCUUUCCUCAUCUGAGGAAUGAGAAGUUUGGAAUAAAUGACCAUAAUGAUUUUUCUUUCUUGGCAUGUCAAUCAAAAGACUAAAAUGAUUUCUGUCUACGACAUGCUCUGUUAGAAGGAGAGGGAUGGGAUUAGGAAAGAACUUUAGAGGUGAGGGAAAUGAAAAACUUGAAGAAACACCUAGAGAAGGAUGAGAACUGUGGAGAGGUCUUCAGUAGGUAGUUAAUAAGAGGAACUCCAUCCCCUGGAGCUGUGGACUAAGGAAGAGUCUUUGACUUAAUCAUUAAGCCCAUCUGAUUGUUCCCAGCAGCUAAUAUCUGUUUCUUGAGUAGCUUUAUUCUGAAUGAGAUAGUUACAGCAACUCACCAGGAGGUGAAAUGAUUUUUUUGGUGACUAGCAGAGAUAGCCAGAAUACUAUCACUCCAGGAGCAAGAUAUGAAUCUAGUUUAAUAUUGGACUUCAUCACUGAUCUUGAAUGUUCUCUCUUGAGUAAAGGACCCCAAAUCAGUGCAUUUGGAACCAUAAAAUGUGAUUCAGAACCCAGGAGGAGAUAUGCAUCAAAUUCUUAUAUACUUAAACCGAAGAUUAGCCACUGUCACGGAAAUAUCUUAAUGAAGGUGGCUGGCCUUUUGUUUUUCUACAAACAACAUGUUGGAAAAGGAAAAGAGAGAGACUGGGUUUAAGAAAAUAAUUUUUUUUUAAGUUCUCUGGUAAUUGAAAAUUGGCUGCAUUUAUUUUCUGGUUUGGGUUUUUCUUUUUUGGCUUGAACUGUGAAAAGGAGCAAGCAGAAAGAAAUUUUAUUCUGCUUUGACACUGAACACAGUAGCUACACAUAACGCUUUUUAAAGUCCUACCAUAUGCCCAUCUAUCACACACAUAAUUUAGCAUGUACAAAAACUCUGAGAGUCUGAUGGUAUAACCCUUGUUUUGGAUGGUGAUCCUGAAUAGGAAUUUUGAGGUGUAGGGGAGAUCCUCAGAAAUUAUGAAUGAGUUCGGCUAAGGUCUCUUCACUUCAAGUCAGAUGUGCUUAGAGCUGCUACUCAGCUUCUGGAAUCAUCUGGUAGGCAGCUUGGCUGUGAAAGGAGUAUAUUUGGCUCAACUGCAGAUCAAGACACCAACCAGCAACAGCCUAAAAACAGAUACUCGCCCAGCCCUAAAGGCAUCAAUGUGUUUUGGGACUACAACCUUACAAUUGUCCCUUCUGGAACAGUGUUACACACCUCACAGCAUACUGGUUGAAUAAAUGAGUGAAUGCGCUUGCCUCUUUGUCUGCAAAAAUUGACUAUGACUGACGAUACAGAAGUAUUUCCCCAAAGAGUGAAUCUUCCUAAACACAAAAACCUGAAAUGUUAAUAUUCUGAAUUGGUCUCUUUGUCUUGUUCUCUAGAAACUAAUUUCAAUGUCAUCCUGUAACUUGGGUCUAUUCAAGUUCCGAGAACUGCAAUAUAAUAGUAAAUGGCCAAGUUGA
rnacentral:lncRNA from 1 species